rnacentral:rRNA from 1 species
CCUACGUGGUGCAGCAGUGGGGAAUAUUGGACAAUGGGCGAAAGCCUGAUCCAGCCAUGCCGCGUGUGUGAAGAAGGCCUUCGGGUUGUAAAGCACUUUCAGUGGGGAAGAAAGCCUUGGGGCUAAUACCCUCGAGGAAGGACAUCACCCACAGAAGAAGCACCGGCUAACUCCGUGCCAGCAGCCGCGGUAAUACGGAGGGUGCGAGCGUUAAUCGGAAUUACUGGGCGUAAAGCGCGCGUAGGCGGUCUGAUAAGCCGGUUGUGAAAGCCCCGGGCUCAACCUGGGAACGGCAUCCGGAACUGUCAGGCUAGAGUGCAGGAGAGGAAGGUAGAAUUCCCGGUGUAGCGGUGAAAUGCGUAGAGAUCGGGAGGAAUACCAGUGGCGAAGGCGGUCUUCUGGACUGACACUGACGCUGAGGUGCGAAAGCGUGGGUAGCAAACAGGAUUAGAUACCCCAGUAGUC